UACGUAGGUGACGAGCGUUAUCCGGAAUUACUGGGCGUAAAGCGUACGCAGGCGGCAUGGUAAGUCUGACGUGAAAUCUCCUGGCUUAACUGGGAGAGGUCGUUGGAGACUGCUGUGCUUGAGACAAUGAGAGGGGUGCAGAAUUCCCGGUGUAGUGGUGGAAUGCGUAGAUAUCGGGAGGAAUACCAGAGGCGAAAGCGGCACCCUGGCAUUGGUCUGACGCUCAUGUACGAAAGCGUGGGUAGCAAACGGG
rnacentral:rRNA from 2 species